rnacentral:rRNA from 1 species
GACGAACGCUGGCGGCGUGCUUAACACAUGCAAGUCGAACGUGAAGCCUUUCUUCGGAGAGGUGGAAAGUGGCGAACGGGUGAGUAACGCGUAGACAACCUGCCCUUUGAUGGGGGAUAGCCCCCGGGAAAUGGGAUUAAUACCGCAUGAUGCACCGAAGCCGCAUGGCUUUGGGUGUUAAAGAUUUANCGUCAGGGGGAUGGGUCUGCGUGACAUUAGGUAGUUGGCGGGGUAACGCCCACCAAGCCGACGAUGUCUAGCUGGUCUGAGAGGAUGAUCAGCCACACUGGGACUGAGAUACGGCCCAGACUCCUACGGGAGGCAGCAGUGAGGAAUAUUGGACAAUGGGGGAAACCCUGAUCCAGCAACGCCGCGUGAACGAUGACGCUGUUACGCAGUGUAAAGUUCUGU